rnacentral:tRNA from 1 species
GCCAGCAUGGCACAGUGGUUUGAGUGUUGGACUACAACUCUGGAGACCAAGGUUCGAUUCCCAGCGCAGCA